rnacentral:sRNA from 1 species
GUGUGGGCUGAGCUGGAAAGGGGACCGGUUCUGUGUGCUCAGACACUAAGGCAGAGGCCUGGCUCUCUUCAGGCUGAUGACAGAGCACUCUCUGGUCCCCUGCCCAGGGUCUGCCCCCAAGCCCUCCCCGCUGCACUGCCUGGAGAGCGCCCUGAGAGGGAUCUUGCCUGUAAGGCCCUUGCGCUUUGCCUGCGUGGCAGGCCCCAGCCCCAGCCCCAGCCCCGGCUCCAGCUCGAGCUUCAGUGGCUCUGAAGGAGAAGACCCGAGGCCAGAGCCUGAGCUCUGGAAGCCACUCCUCCAGGAGAGGGACCGCCUUCCCAGCUGUAAGCCUCCUGUCCCUCUGUCCCCAUGUCCUGGUGGGACCCCUGCUGGCAGCAGUGGCAGCAGCCCUGGUGAAGACCCCAGGAGAACAGAGCCCAGGUACUGCAGCGGCCUCGGUGCAGGUGAGCCUGGGGUCUCCUGAGGGGGCGCCCAUGCGUCCCCCAGAGGGCCAGGAGUCCAGACUGGAUCCUCUGAGUCCUGCCUGUCGCUUUGCCUGGCUCUUGCCAGGGAGUCCUGCACAUUGGCUGUAC